rnacentral:rRNA from 1 species
GAUGAACGCGGCGGCGUGCUUAACACAUGCAAGUCGAGCGAGAAGUUUUGAAAAGAUUCUUCGGAUGAAAUUUAAAAUGGAAAGCGGCGGACGGGUGAGUAACGCGUAGGCAACCUGCCCCAUACAAAGGGAUAGCAUUUGGAAACGAAUAUUAAUACCUUAUGAAACUUAACUAGUGCAUGCUAGGUAGGUCAAAGAUUUAUCGGUAUGGGAUGGGCCUGCGUCUGAUUAGCUAGUUGGUGAGGUAACGGCUCACCAAGGCGACGAUCAGUAGCCGACCUGAGAGGGUGAACGGCCACAUUGGAACUGAGACACGGUCCAAACUCCUACGGGAGGCAGCAGUGGGGAAUAUUGCACAAUGGGGGAAACCCUGAUGCAGCAACGCCGCGUGAACGAUGAAGGCCUUUGGGUCGUAAAGUUCUGUUCUAGGUGAUGAAAACUGACAGAACCUAGAGAAGCCCCGCACCC